rnacentral:rRNA from 1 species
CCUACGGGAGGCAGCAGUGGGGAAUAUUGGUCAAUGGACGCAAGUCUGACCCAGCCAUGCCGCGUGCGGGAAGACGGCUCUCUGAGUUGUAAACUGCUUUUGUACGAGGGUAAACGCAGAUACGCGUAUCUGUCUGAAAGUAUCGUACGCCUAAGGAUCGGCUAACUCCGUGCCAGCAGCCGCGGUACUACGGAGGAUUCAAGCGUUAUCCGGAUUUAUGGGGUUUAAAGGGUGCGUAGGCGGUCGGAUAAGUUAGAGGUGAAAUCCCGAGGCUCAACUUCGGAAUUGCCUCUGAUACUGUUCGGCUAGAGAGUAGGUGCGGUAGGCGGAAGGUAAGGUGUAGCGGUGAAAUGCUUAGAGAUCAGACAGAACACCGAUUGCGAAGGCAGCUUACCAAGCUACUUCUGACGUUGAGGCACGAAAGCGUGGGGAGCAAACAGGAUUAGAUACCCCAGUAGUC